GACUUUUUGCUUUGUGUUUUUUUUGCCUGCAAUAGUGUACGGCUUCGAGGAUUUAAGUGCUUAGAAGUGUAAUCCGGGACGCUGCGUCAUUAAUUCAUGCGUAUAAGAGUAGUUUAUUUAAUAUUCUAUGAUGAGUUAUAUACUAUUC
ensembl:ncRNA C14F11.29 ncRNA